AAGCCCCGGCAAAAAAUCUUUUGCUUUCUGAGGUUUGCAAACUCUGUACAAGACC
rnacentral:tRNA from 1 species